rnacentral:rRNA from 1 species
UAAGGUAAGGAGGUGAUCCAACCGCAGGUUCCCCUACGGUUACCUUGUUACGACUUCACCCCAGUCAUGAAUCACAAAGUGGUAAGCGCCCUCCCGAAGGUUAAGCUACCCACUUCUUUUGCAACCCACUCCCAUGGUGUGACGGGCGGUGUGUACAAGGCCCGGGAACGUAUUCACCGUAGCAUUCUGAUCUACGAUUACUAGCGAUUCCGACUUCAUGGAGUCGAGUUGCAGACUCCAAUCCGGACUACGACAUACUUUAUGAGGUCCGCUUGCUCUCGCGAGGUCGCUUCUCUUUGUAUAUGCCAUUGUAGCACGUGUGUAGCCCUGGUCGUAAGGGCCAUGAUGACUUGACGUCAUCCCCACCUUCCUCCAGUUUAUCACUGGCAGUCUCCUUUGAGUUCCCGGCCGAACCGCUGGCAACAAAGGAUAAGGGUUGCGCUCGUUGCGGGACUUAACCCAACAUUUCACAACACGAGCUGACGACAGCCAUGCAGCACCUGUCUCACAGUUCCCGAAGGCACCAAAGCAUCUCUGCUAAGUUCUGUGGAUGUCAAGACCAGGUAAGGUUCUUCGCGUUGCAUCGAAUUAAACCACAUGCUCCACCGCUUGUGCGGGCCCCCGUCAAUUCAUUUGAGUUUUAACCUUGCGGCCGUACUCCCCAGGCGGUCGAUUUAACGCGUUAGCUCCGGAAGCCACGCCUCAAGGGCACAACCUCCAAAUCGACAUCGUUUACGGCGUGGACUACCAGGGUAUCUAAUCCUGUUUGCUCCCCACGCUUUCGCACCUGAGCGUCAGUCUUUGUCCAGGGGGCCGCCUUCGCCACCGGUAUUCCUCCAGAUCUCUACGCAUUUCACCGCUACACCUGGAAUUCUACCCCCCUCUACAAGACUCUAGCCUGCCAGUUUCGAAUGCAGUUCCCAGGUUGAGCCCGGGGAUUUCACAUCCGACUUGACAGACCGCCUGCGUGCGCUUUACGCCCAGUAAUUCCGAUUAACGCUUGCACCCUCCGUAUUACCGCGGCUGCUGGCACGGAGUUAGCCGGUGCUUCUUCUGCGGGUAACGUCAAUCGCCAAGGUUAUUAACCUUAACGCCUUCCUCCCCGCUGAAAGUGCUUUACAACCCGAAGGCCUUCUUCACACACGCGGCAUGGCUGCAUCAGGCUUGCGCCCAUUGUGCAAUAUUCCCCACUGCUGCCUCCCGUAGGAGUCUGGACCGUGUCUCAGUUCCAGUGUGGCUGGUCAUCCUCUCAGACCAGCUAGGGAUCGUCGCCUAGGUGAGCCGUUACCCCACCUACUAGCUAAUCCCAUCUGGGCACAUCUGAUGGCAUGAGGCCCGAAGGUCCCCCACUUUGGUCUUGCGACAUUAUGCGGUAUUAGCUACCGUUUCCAGUAGUUAUCCCCCUCCAUCAGGCAGUUUCCCAGACAUUACUCACCCGUCCGCCGCUCGUCACCCGAGAGCAAGCUCUCUGUGCUACCGCUCGACUUGCAUGUGUUAGGCCUGCCGCCAGCGUUCAAUCUGAGCCAUGAUCAAACUCUUCAAUU